rnacentral:lncRNA from 1 species
GAUGAUAAUCUUGGGAAGGUGGUGGAGGAUGAUAGUCCUGGGAAGGGGGAGGAGAAUGAUAAUCCUGGGAAGGUGGAGGAGAAUGAAAGUCUUGGGAAGGUGGAGGAGGAUGAUAGUCUUGGGAAGGUGGAGGAGGAUGAUAGUCUUGGGAAGGUGGAGGAGGAGGAGGAUAGUCUUGGGAAGGAUAAACUCCAGGUGUAUAAGAGUGAGAUGAUGGAGAAACAACAGAAGAAUGCUUGUUGUUAUCUACUCUGUCAUGAAAUUGCAUAGAUGGUGGAAUAUUUGCAGAAUGCUGUUCAUUAACAG